UAAUACAUAGGUCGCAAGCGUUAUCCGGAAUUAUUGGGCGUAAAGCGUUCGUAGGCUGUUUAUUAAGUCUGGAGUCAAAUCCCAGGGCUCAACCCUGGCUCGCUUUGGAUACUGGUAAACUAGAGUUGGAUAGAGGUAAGCGGAAUUCCAUGUGAAGCGGUGAAAUGCGUAGAUAUAUGGAAGAACACCAAAGGCGAAGGCAGCUUACUGGGUUUAUACUGACGCUGAGGAACGAAAGCGUGGGGAGCAAACAGGAUUAGAUACCCUGGUAGUCCACGCCGUAAACGAUGAUCAUUAGUCGGCAGAGAACUGUUGACGCAGCUAACGCAUUAAAUGAUCCGCCUGAGUAGUAUGCUCGCAAGAGUAAAACUUAAAGGAAUUGACGGGGACCCGCACAAGCGGUGGAGCAUGUGGUUUAAUUUGAAGAUACGCGGAGAACCUUACCCACUCUUGACAUCCUUCGCAAAGCUAUAGAGAUAUAGUGGAGGUUAACGGAGUGACAGAUGGUGCAUGGUUGUCGUCAGCUCGUGUCGUGAGAUGUUUGGUCAAGUCCUGCAACGAGCGCAACCCCUAUCUUUAGUUACUAACGAGUCAUGUCGAGGACUCUAGAGAUACUGCCUGGGUAACUGGGAGGAAGGUGGGGAUGACGUCAAAUCAUCAUGCCUCUUACGAGUGGGGCAACACACGUGCUACAAUGGUCGGUACAAAGAGAAGCAAUAUGGUGACAUGGAGCAAAUCUCAAAAAGCCGAUCUCAGUUCGGAUUGAAGUCUGCAAUUCGACUUCAUGAAGUCGGAAUCGCUAGUAAUCGCAGAUCAGCUAUGCUGCGGUGAAUACGUUCUCGGGUCUUGUACACACCGCCCGUCACACCAUGGGAGCUGGUAAUACCCAAAGUCGGUUUGCUAACCUCGGAGGCGACUGCCUAAGGUAGGA
rnacentral:rRNA from 1 species